ACUCAAAGGAAUAGACGGGGGCCCGCACAAGCGGAGGAACAUGUGGUUUAAUUCGAUGAUACGCGAGGAACCUUACCCGGGCUCGAACGGUACAGGGAUACGACAGAGAUGUUGUAGCUAGCAAUAGUCUGUAUCGAGGUGCUGCAUGGUUGUCGUCAGCUCGUGCCGUGAGGUGUAGGCUUAAGUGCCAUAACGAGCGCAACCCUUGUUGUUAGUUACCAUCAGGUAAAGCUGGGGACUCUAGCGAGACUGCCACCGUAAGGUGCGAGGAAGGGGGGGAUGACGUCAAAUCAGCACGGCCCUUACGUCCGGGGCGACACACGUGUUACAAUGGUGGAUACAGAGGGGCGCUACCCAGUGAUGGGAUGCGAAUCUCUAAAGUCCAUCUCAGUUCGGAUUGGAGUCUGCAACUCGACUCCAUGAAGUUGGAUUCGCUAGUAAUCGCGCAUCAGCCAUGGCGCGGUGAAUACGUUCCCGGGCCUUGUACACACCGCCCGU
rnacentral:rRNA from 1 species